UUGAAGGCUCCAGAGUAAAUUUUACUUGGCCCUGCUGAGUCUGGAUUCCUCUCAGCUCUCUUAGCUGUUGUUUAAGCUCUUCUCUUCCUCAUCUGGCCUGUAUUUCCUGUCUCUGGUUCUUACUAUGAAGCGUGUUAAUAAGCAUCUGGAUGCCAUUAACAUGUUUUGUGAGAACAGAAGCAGGAUAAAAAGUAGAAAUUGAAAGCAGAGCCUGUGUAGAAGUAAAUCUGUGUUCUUUUGUGUUUCCAUCAGGAGCAAUCUCACAGAAGAAGACAUCUUUGCAUCUUCCUCAUGAUUGUGAAACAGACCCCUAGGCCUGACUAAUACCACUCAGGGCUGGGUGAAUCCACAGAGCAUAUCUGAGUCUCUUUUGAAGAGUCACCAGCAGAUGAAGUAAUUUGAGGCCUCACCCACACCACAGUUUAUUCAGCCAGCUGCGAAGACUCCACAGAAGACUCCUGAGCUGGCCUGAAUCUUCCAAUGAAGUCUGUUUGAGCUGUGCCGAGCCAAUACUAACUCCAGAAAGCCAAGGAUGGGAUUUUCAAGUAUGAGAAGGGUGAACACUGGUCACGUCAGACACGUCUCUCAAGGAAGUCAUCAAGGCGUCCCUGAUCCUGGUGAUACUUGCUUAGCAUUUAUUGGCUGAGUCUACAAAACAAAUUGUACUGAACAAACCUCUGCCAACCUUGACCACCAAGGAGCAAAACAUCUUCAGCCCAGUCUGUCUGGGGCCAGCACCAGACACAAACACGAGUUAGUGAGCUGCAAGCCCAGGCGUGAACCCGUGUAACCCAUGGACUUCCACACUGGGCUACGGCCGAGGAUUUAAGCGUGUUCGAGGCACCAUCAGGCGUGAAGCUGCUAUCGCCUCACUGCGAUCUAAACCUGUAUUUCAGCAUCUUCUGUAGCCUGACGGAGAAUUACAGCCUAAAACAUAAAUCUGAGUAAAACCGGCUGCGGAGCACCCGCGGGGGGUUUGGUGACGAGGCCUCUCAAAUGCCGGCCCGGGACGCGGGCACUGCGGGUCCCCGCGCUCCA